rnacentral:rRNA from 1 species
AAACUUUCAACAACGGAUCUCUUGGUUCUGGCAUCGAUGAAGAACGCAGCGAAAUGCGAUAAGUAAUGUGAAUUGCAGAAUUCAGUGAAUCAUCGAAUCUUUGAACGCACAUUGCGCCCCUUGGUAUUCCGGUUCUCAAGGGGGGCAUGCCUGUUCGA